rnacentral:lncRNA from 1 species
CACCCCCGCCCCCUCCACGCUCACUCGGGAGUGAUAAAAACCCGGGCUUUAAUCUAAGUUGAAUCUCGAUGUAGCUUCAUCUUUCCUUAGUUUGAAUAUGAAUAUUCGGGUUUUUGAAUCGCAAACUGAUACUGGUAUACAGCUGUUUGAUUCUAUAUUCUUCAUACUCAUUUUUUGUAGCCACUGGCGACUCUUUGUCUGGUAAUACGCUAGAUUUUUAUUACCUUGUUA